UCCUUCCUUUCAAAACAUUUUUUAGAUUUUCUCCUGUAUCAUUUAGGUAAUCUUGCCAUACAUCGGUGGAUGUUCAGUGGAUUGAUUUUGUUAGUGCAAAACGAAAUCAAUCACUGAAUUUCAUUGUAUCUUCGAGAUUAUCACUUGUAACCCUUAUGCACAUAAUCAGUGGGGUGAAUAAAAUCUUAAGAACAGUGACAUUGUUACAUGGCUUGAAUUCAUUUUGGUAUUUUCCAGUUCGGUGAAUGAACACAAAAUCCACACUAAACCCAACUAGAACGACACAACCUUAAUUUUGCUGGAGUGGUGAUCCAAUUUGCGGUUGCAUUUCCUUCACACUUUAUCCAUCGAAGAUGAUAAUGAUUUAAUUGGGAGGAGAAACAUUUGAAGUCGUAUAGAAAAGGCUCAUUCUCCCACCUCUUCUUCUUUACCAUAUUCAUUCUAUUAACUAGCUCCUUUCAAUCAGACUCCAAACCAAUCUUUUCCUCCUUGUACUUUUGUGCUAACAUUACUCUUUCCUUGAGAGUCACAACUUCAACUUUCAUAGCAAAAUCAACAAAAGCAACUAAGUCAAUGCCAUCCAGCUCUUUACCUUCCCAAUUUAUGCACGAUCAGACCUACGUACCCGUGCACUAUUAGUUUUGGCAUCAAAAGUUGCAUCAUAGUUGGACUUUAGCUCUCUACAUCCACUAUAAAACAUAAGAUUUUUAUCAAUGGAAAAAUCCAUCCAUAAAGGUUAUAAAUCUGUCAGUAACUCACUUUACCAAUGGAAGUUUUUGUCAAUAUUGAGUCAAU
rnacentral:lncRNA from 1 species